UACGUAGGGUGCGAGCGUUAAUCGGAAUUACUGGGCGUAAAGCGUGCGCAGGCGGUUCGUUAAGUCAGCUGUGAAAGCCCCGGGCUCAACCUGGGAACUGCGGUUGAAACUGGCGAACUAGAAUCUGGCAGAGGGGGGUGGAAUUCCACGUGUAGCAGUGAAAUGCGUAGAGAUGUGGAGGAACACCGAUGGCGAAGGCAGCCCCCUGGGCUGAGAUUGACGCUCAGGCACGAAAGCGUGGGGAGCAAACAGG
rnacentral:rRNA from 2 species